GAAACUCAAUUCUAUACAACCUGCUCGGCGAUAAAUGGUUGAGAGAUCAAGCUGAGUAGCUGAUGAAGAAAGAUGAACAUCUAGCGAGCCAAAGAUGUACAGACAUUUCCUUCUGGAGUUUGCAGACCAAACCAGGGCUGAAAUCCAAAUAAACAUUGGACUUGUAUUUGAGAGAUGGCAAAAAAAAAGGACUUGGAGGGGAUGCCCAUGUUGCUCUGAGUCUGCUGGAUGUCCACUCAGCCUCUGGUGCUUGUUGUCCUCCCACCUGACAUGUCGCUUGCCUUCAUUUUGCUUCCAUUAAGCUGAAAAUUACAGGUUAUAUCAACAAAUAAAUGAGCUCUGGAAAAUACAGGCAUUUGUGUGUUAUUUCCAUUUGAAAGAACUCAAUUUGAAUUGAUAGCAGUUAUUUUAAGGAGGGAGAAAAAAAAAAAAAAAAAAGCUUGAGCACUCAACAAGGUGAACCUGCUGAAACAAGUCAAGUGUUGUUCCAAAACGAAACACUGUUACAUGCUGUGCCAGACAUUAAUUUUCAUUUGCCAAGGUGAAAGAAAAAAAAAAAGAUAUUUAUAUGAGAAAAACUCGAGCCGUGGAGAAGGUGGGUAGAUUUAGACGUGGGCUUCUAUUCAAAUAUGAAGGUCUCCUUGACAUUUUCUGCACUGCGUUGGCUGCUCAUCCUUGUCGCAUUUCUCCAAGCUGCAGAUGGAAUUGCACGACCUGUUGACAUUUACAAACUCAUCUGGCUGAGAGCGAUGGCAUUCUAUUAGGAGAAACACCUCCGAAAGUCCCGCCACAGAGUCCCGUCUCCACUCUGCGGAGUUCAACACAUGAACAUGUUAUUGCUUUGCACAAACACAAAUCGACCUUUGCGGGGAGAGCAAGGAGAGGAGCACGCCGUCUCACUUUCUCCCCUCCUCUAGAAGUCUCUAACUACAGAAUGUAAACUUGGAUUGAAUAGUGGUGAGGUUUAAUCAGAUCAAACUGGACUGCUGCAGCUGCCACCAGAGGGAGCCCGCUGUUCAAAUGUGAUCGGGUUAAAGUCUGCUCACCCACCCCCCUCCGCCAUACCGAUAAGUCUCUGGACAGCAGCCAACAGUAGUGUGGCACAUAAUUCACCAGCAGCUGUGUUAAAGGCAGGGCGAAGGUGAAAUGAGGUGAAGGCAAAGCCAAUACAGUUGCAGCAGACAUAACAAUGACAUAACUGUAGACUGACUGACUGUGGAAGGCGGUCUGGGUGAUAAUGCAGAUAUGUAUGUGUGAUAUGUGUUUAAUACUGACAACUGAAAGCAAAUGACAGCAACAAAAAAAAAAAAACACGACCCAAGGUCAAGAACAUGGAAAACCACACAAUAAAUGAGAUGAAAACAAGUUAUUUUCUCUGUAUGGAGGAGAGUACACUCCUUCACUUUAUUAACAACCGAUCGAAAAUGACAAAUCAGAGACAAGCUUUCAAAAAAAGCCGAUGGGAUGCAA